rnacentral:rRNA from 1 species
ACGAACGCUGGCGGCGUGCUUAACACAUGCAAGUCGAACGGGAAGGCCCUGCUUUUGUGGGGUGCUCGAGUGGCGAACGGGUGAGUAACACGUGAGUAACCUGCCCUUGACUUUGGGAUAACUUCAGGAAACUGGGGCUAAUACCGGAUAGGAGCUCCUGCUGCAUGGUGGGGGUUGGAAAGUUUCGGCGGUUGGGGAUGGACUCGCGGCUUAUCAGCUUGUUGGUGGGGUAGUGGCUUACCAAGGCUUUGACGGGUAGCCGGCCUGAGAGGGUGACCGGCCACAUUGGGACUGAGAUACGGCCCAGACUCCUACGGGAGGCAGCAGUGGGGAAUAUUGCACAAUGGGCGGAAGCCUGAUGCAGCAACGCCGCGUGCGGGAUGACGGCCUUCGGGUUGUAAACCGCUUUCGCCUGUGACGAAGCGUGAGUGACGGUAAUGGGUAAAGAAGCGCCGGCUAACUACGUG